CCUACGGGAGGCAGCAGUGGGGAAUAUUGCACAAUGGGGGAAACCCUGAUGCAGCGCCGCCGCGUGAGUGAAGAAGUAUCUCGGUACGUAAAGCUCUAUCAGCAGGGAAGAAAAUGCCGGUACUUGCCUACGAAGCCCCGGCUACCUCCGUGCCAGCCGCCGCGGUAAUACGGGGGGGGAAGGCGUUAUCCGGCUUUACUGGGUGGAAAGGGAGCGUAGACGGCAGCCCAAGCCUGCAGUGAAGUCCCGGGGCUUAACCCCGGAACUGCUUUGGAAACUGUGCGGCUGGAGUGCAGGAGGGGUAAGCGGAAUUCCUAGGGUAGCGGUGAAAUGCGUAGAUAUUAGGAGGAACACCGGUGGCGAAGGCGGCUUACUGGACUGUAACUGACGUUGAGGCUCGAAAGCGUGGGGAGCAAACAGGAUUAGAUACCCGAGUAGUC
rnacentral:rRNA from 1 species